rnacentral:rRNA from 1 species
UACGAAGGGGGCUAGCGUUGCUCGGAAUCACUGGGCGUAAAGCGCACGUAGGCGGAUCUUUAAGUCAGGGGUGAAAUCCCAAGGCUCAACCUUGGAACUGCCUUUGAUACUGGGGAUCUCGAGUCCGGAAGAGGUGAGUGGAACUGCGAGUGUAGAGGUGAAAUUCGUAGAUAUUCGCAAGAACACCAGUGGCGAAGGCGGCUCACUGGUCCGGUACUGACGCUGAGGUGCGAAAGCGUGGGGAGCAGACAGG